rnacentral:ncRNA from 1 species
AACAGCGAUGAAUCUGCCUUUCCUUGAACGCCAUUUUUCGGCUCUAUAAAUAUUAGAAAACGGAAAAAAUAUUUUGGUUUGUUAUCGGAAUGGGUACAAUUUAAACCUGUUAACGAGGACCUAUGAGAGGGCAAGCCUGGUGCCAGCAGCCGCGGUAACUCCAGCUCUCAAAGUGUAUAUCGUUAUUGCUGCGUUAAAAAGCUCGUAGUUGGAAUCCAGCUUGACGACAUGGUCCAUUUAUUGGAUGUGAACUAUGAUCGUAGGAAAAAGUUUAAAAUAAAAUUGUGAUUCAAUUCUAUUGGGUUGCAACAAUAUGCAUUAUAA